GGAGGGAGUAUGUGAAGAUUCGUAUGGAUGUGUAGUAUUUAGUCUUACAUCAGCUAUUCACUAAAAACAUCUUGGAUACUUAUAGAGGGUCAAGAAAUCCAAAUAAAAUCUUAUGACUAACUUUUUUAGGUGAGGUCCUAGAUUACUACAAGACUUGCACACUAUAUGAGUCAACUCUAGAUUUUCAGAAGUCAAUCCAAAAUAGUCUUGGGCCCA
rnacentral:lncRNA from 1 species